AAUAGGAAAACCCUUUCUAGGAGGCAUUCAGGGAAGCAAUUUUUCACCCCUUGUUGGGUAACUAUCUUAAAAUGACUCCACUUAAGAUAACCAACCUAAUGUAUAUACAUAUGUA